rnacentral:sRNA from 1 species
GGCUGGUCUCGAACUCCUGACCUCAGGUGAUCCGGCCGCCUUGGCCUCCCAAAGUGCUGGGAUUACAGCCAUGAGCCACAGCGCCCGGCCAAACUCCUUGUUCUACUCUUUCCCCCUUGUCACUACUGCACUUGACUAGUCUUUA